GGGGCGACCUGUGCCCACUGGGCGGAGCGGGGCCACGUGGCCUCCUGUUCCUCCUGUGUCUCCUCCUUUUUUUGUGGCUCUGGGGCCUGAGCAGGGCCUGUCGUGCGAGGCAGCCUCUCCCCCUGAACUUCGCCCCAGCCCAACCCUUUUUCUUCUUCUCCAGGGCAAGAUUCUCUGCCCGUCCCGCUGCCCACGUUCCUGGUAGCUGGGGGAAGCCUGGCCUUCGGCUCGCUGCUGUGCGUCGGCAUCAUCCUCAGGUGAGACGGGCGGGGGUCUCUGUGACGUCCUGUGUGUCGUAUGUAGCUGCCCUUCACCCCGGAACCACCAAAUGUACAGGGGCUGGGGACGGGGCUUGGUGUAGAGCCCUGGCCUGGGGAGCACGGCGCCCUGGGUUCUAGCCCAGCAGCGUGUGCACACAGACAGACACACGUGCACACGCACACACUCACACACGCGCGCACACGCACAUACACACGCGUGCACACACGUGCACACACACACAGAGCCUGCAGUGAGAAGUGCUUUGGGGUCUUGGAGGCCUCCGGCUGGCGGGCGUGGUGGUGCACCCCUGUGAUCCCAGUGACUCAGGAGACCCGGGGAGGCAGGAGGAUUGCGAGUUCGAGGCUCGCCGUGGUGACUUAGAAAGAUCCUGAAUCCACAUAAAAAAAUCUAAGUGGCUUAGGGCCUUGCUCAGUUUCUGAGACUGGCUUUGAACUUGUGAUCUUCCUGCCUCAGCCUCCCAAGCUGCUGGGAUCGAAAUUAUUUUUUUAAAAAAAUUAAAAAGAGGCUGGGGAUACAGCUCAGAGGUCAGGUGCCCUGGGUUCAAUCCCAUUUCCACACACACACCAUCUGGGAGCAUUUGCUCAUCCAUUUAUUCACUCAGCAAAUGAAGGCACCUCCAGCACACAGAGCGCCCACUAGGAGGCUACCCUGAUUCAGCGCUGCAGGACAGAGGCCGAUAGGGUGGAGGCUGUCUAAUGCGGAGGGCAGACUGGGUAGGUGACCACAGGUGUGUGGGUGACAGCUGCCAACAGAGCCGCUGAGCUGGGCACGGAGGCCCACGCCUGUAAUCCCAGCAGCUUGGGAGGCUGAGGCAGGAGGAUCGUGAGUUCAAAGCCAGCCUCAGCAACUUAGCAAGGCCCUGAGAAACUCAGUGAGACUCUGUCUCCAAAUAAAAAAUAAAAAGGGCUGGGGAUGUGGCUCAGUGAUCAAAUGCCCCUGGGUUUAAUCCCCAGUACCACAAACAAACAAAACUUCUUUUGGAUACAGAACUGGUUAUUUUUGUUUGUUGGUUGGUUGGUUGGUUGGUAUAGGGGGAUUGAACUCAACCACUGAGCCACAUCCCCAGCCCUAUUUUAUUUAGUGACAAAUUCUCACUGAGUUGCUUAGGGCCUCGCCAUUGCUGAGGCUGGCUUUGAACUCACGAUCCUCCUGUCUCAGCCUCCAGAGCUGCUGGGAUUACAGGUAUGUGCCACUGUGCCCUGCUCCUACCUUUUAAAUUUAGCAUUCUAAUAUAAGCAUUUUUUUUCCAUGUAUUUACAAAUCCUUUGCAAACUCACUUUCAUUAGCUGCAGAUCCCUCUAUCCGGGAUUAAUACCCAAGUUCACUAAACCAGUCUCCUAUUAUUGGGCAGUUGGAUGUUGUUCUGCUUUUAUAAACAACACUGUGCUGGACAUCUUUGUGCCAUAAGCUUCUCCAUAGCUCUGUUAUUCCCAGAAGAGGAAUUCCUUAGUCAGAGGGUCUGAAUAUUUUGCAAUCCAGAGUAUAAAGAAUCUGUCCUCUAUCUUCUCACAGGGGAGGAGAAUUCCACUCAAGGACUCAGCAAAACUUCAAUAAGCACCCCGCUGGGCUCUUCCUGUGUGGGGCCCAAGUGGCGAAGCCCUAAGUCACAUUCUGAGGUUGUUUAUUCCAUUUGGUCAGUGGGCUCAGAGCCAAAGGCAGACUUGGAGCCAACUAUCAAUUAUCUAUCCUCACAAGGACAGGAAUAGCCUGCUGAUAUAAAAAGAAGCCAAGGAAAAUGCCCAAAUUUUGUUUUUGAUGUUGGUUUCCCUUCCUCCCCGUGGUGCCUCCUGGAGCCACUGAUAUGUGCUGGACUCAGGGAGGCCAUCUUUCUCCCACUCUGGGGACAAGUCAGCCACAAGGUGGUCAGGAGACGGGGGAGAAGAGGCCCGGCUGCCUGGGCGCGGGUGAAGGGCCCCUUCAGGAAGGAGACCGGCUGCACCUUUGAAGAUCAAUGUCACCAUCUCCUCUUUCUCUGAUUGUCAAGUGACUUCUCUCCGUUGCUGAGCCUGGCUUUGGGCCCAGUGUGGAGCCCCGUGAGCAAGGCUGUGAUCAGAGAGAUAGAUGUCUAUCUCCUUCCUGUUUAGCACCGACUUUCCUGUCGGAUGAGUCAACCUGUGCCCGUGUGCCCACAGCGUGAGGGUGGGCACUCUCGCUGGUUGGGUGGGACGGACCAGAGGCUCAGGGAGAGUUGGGGGGAAUGGGAAUGUCAGGGACAGGAGUGUCACCAAGGGCCACUGAAUGGUGGUUGCACGUGGUCUUCGGGCUGGCCUUGAUUUGAAGGAGGCCCAUUUUCCUUCCCUCUAAAAGAAGACGUUGCUGUUUUGUUUUUUAGUCCUGGGGAUUGAGCCCCGGGGGUGCCCUAUCACUGGGCCACAUCCCCAGCUCUUUUUACUUUUUGUUUUGAGACAGGGUCUUGUUAAGUGGCCCGGACUGGCCUAGAACCUGGGGUCCUUCUGCCUCGGCCUCUUGAUUCAUUAGGAUCACGGGCAUGAUCCACCAUGUCUUGAUGUUUCCCUUUUCAAAAAUAAAUGGACUGGGGACUGACGAUGGAUAGCCUGUGGGACAGGACAAAUUGAGGGAUUAGCAGGGACUUGCUGGUGCUCCACCAGGACAACCCUGCCUGCCUCAGUCCCCCUUUUGCCUAGCCGUGGAGACCUCCCUUCUUGGGAUGCUUGGGGAACUCAGCCGCUCUCCGGAGGCUGGCAGAAUCUCUGGGGUUUGAGACCAGCUGCUGAUGGGAUGAAUCAUCAUCACGCCUUGGAGCCGAGCCUGGGCGCUCCAGACCUCCAGGGCCACCAGCUGUUGGGUUCAUCGCAGGGGACCGUCACAUGGGUGUGAUGUGUCUUUGUGUGUUUGCGUGCAGGUUCAAGAAGACGUGGAAGCCACAGGCCCUGAAAGAGUGCAAGACGGGCGUGCACCCGCCGUAUUCCCUGGGGCAGUCCAAGCCCACCAUUGUGCUGGCUCCCCUCCUUUCCCCACCUGUGUCCCCCAGCAGCCUCGGCUCAGACAGCACCUCGAGCCACAGCCGACCAGAUGCCAGGGACUCGCGGAGCCCUUACGACAUCAGCAACAGAGACUACUUCUUCGCCAGAUAGCUGUCUGGGUGGCCCCUGGCAGCGGGGUGACAGAGGUGCUGAAUUGUGUGGGUGACGCAGCCCACGCUGGCUCUGGAAAGACGCUUCUCACUGCCAUUCCAGCUCAUCUCAGGGGCGUGGGGCAUUUGGCUUCACGGUGACGGAAGAGCCUGCAGAAGGUUCUAGACUGGUGGAAAUCGGCUUGCUACACCUGUUCUGAAGGAAGAGCUGGUUGAGCUUUCAAACCGCUCUUCCCAAGCGCUCUGCUUCGGGGGGUCUCAGCGACUCAGGACACUGUGAAGAGAGCCGCGCCAAGACUCGAUGGGACCGAGGGUGUGGAGGAGCUGCCGGGCACCCCCACACCCGGACUCAUCUCUGCCAGCCGAACCCUCAGGCAGGGGCAGGGGCUUCCAGGAGGCCUGCCGUGGUGGCUGGCUCCUGCCCCUGCCCAGUCGCACCUUGUCCCUCCGACUCUGGAAACCCAAGUGCCUUUGCCAUUCUGUUUCCUGGACUGAGGAUGGCUUUGUGCAAACCACUGAGGCUGGGGAGGGAGCUCUUUCCUGCCUUCCCCCCACACUUGAAAAGCAGCUGGUGUGUGAGUGUGAGUGUGAGUGUGUGUGCAGGGGGUGGUGAAUAAGUCUCAGGGCCGAUGGUUUAAGUGGAAUCAUAAUCAGCUCCUCACGAGUGUUGUGCUCAAUGUGAAUGAUAACCCUAGGCUUUUGCUGGCUACAGAAGCAGCUGCGCCAACUUUGUCCCCCUGUUGGGGUCUCAGGGCUUGAGGACAGAAGCAGAGAGGAAGGAGGGGAGUAGGGACAGGGUCUUCAAGGUCCCCUGUUGUAGCUGAGGGGGACCCCAGCCUCUGGAAACCAGUUUCCUCUCCCCCCUGCCAGUGCUGGGAGCCAAGUCAGUUGACUUCAUCUUGGUUGGUUGGGGUGCCGACCGGACCUGAGUGAUCAGUGUAGACGGUGUCGGUGUGAAAGGAAAAACGAAUCCGCAAGAAUGUGCUUCGUGUUUUUGAAAACCUGCUCUUUUCUCUUGAGGUGCUGGGAGCCUCAGUCUUCUCUGGAUUUCGGUUUAUAAAUAACUUGGGGCGGGGCACGAUGAUUCUGUUUAGCACCAAAGCAAGUCCACUCAAAAAAGGAGGAGGAGGAGAAGAAGUUUCCCUUAUGGAGAAGAGAUUCUGGUUUCAUUCUGUAUUUUGUUUUUGUCUUGCAAACCGUAAAAAUAGUCUCUGCCUCUUCUCUGAAUUGGGGAAAAAGUCACUUGUGACUGUCCCCCUGCCCCUCCCCUAGGUGGUUAGGAAAGAAAGGGUGUCCCCCUUCCUGUUGUGAUGCCGCCCACGAGUACCCGGCAGGGUCCUAGAAAGUCCCCACUGAGACUCAGAAGGGAGGUUCAUUUUUUUAAAAAUAUAAAUCCCUUACCUGGGUUUCUUCCUCUUUUUGUUUUGUUCCUUGAACUGGAUUCGGCUCAGCUCCCAUGGAAGCAGCCGAUGGGUGUCCAGCUGUGACACCCGUAACCACCAGCUCACUUUCCUGUCGGGGCUUUGAGAACUCAGUGAUGUUAGUGUCACCCAGACAGGUGACCACAGAGGAGAGCGGUGAUUAAAACGAGCUGUGGAGCCACAGACCCUGAAUUUACCAGACCACAAGGCUUUUCUAGAAGUUUACCCUUUUAGAAAAACACCACCGCCACCAGACACGUGGCGAAGGGUGGAAGCCCCCAUGUGUUCGCCAAGCGCCGGGUUCUGGGCGUCACUGUCUCGAGCCCUGGUGGCUCUCACAUCCUGCCGUCUUAGGCGGGUGGUCCACGGGGUUGACAAGAGUCAAGCAGGUGUUCAUGGCUCUCCUUUCCCCCCGCUCUGUCAGGUUUCUGAAUCACAAAAAUGCUGUGAAAGGAAAUGUUAGAAUGAGGAUCUGCAUGAGAGAGUGCGACUCUGCCCACGGCUCUUUAACUCUCACACAGUUCUGCCCACAGCCAGGCAGGGCCGCUGGUGGGGGACGUGAGAUCCAGAGAGUUCAUCGUCUCUGAGAGCGAGGCAGCUUUGAUCUCCAAAUUGUUAUUGCUUUCACUAUUAUUGUACCGGAACUGCCUUUUCUUUUGGGGGGAGGCGGUAUCACAGAGGGUUCCCCCCUUUACUUGUUGUAAGCUAGUGCCAGUGGAGGAAAGGCUGGCCUCUCUGGGCUCAGAGUCUGCUUCGUGGCCAGGCCCCUGCCUUAGGCUUUCUGUGUCUGAAUGGUUCCUGGACACGUGUCUCUGUCCACUAGUCCCAUGGAUCACUCUUCCUUAGGUCCCUGCAGUCCACAGGCUGCCUUGGAUCCUCAACAGGGCCGACACUACCUACGGCCUGCGCCCUCAGCCACAUAGCCAGAUGUUGAAGUGUGUGGACAGGGACCAUUGAAGGAGGAGGGAUGCACGAAUUUAGAAGCCCAUCUUGUUGGGUGGGCCCAGUCGAAAAUAUGCUGGACCCAGGUCUAACCUAAAGUGAUCAUCAGUUCUUGUAGCAUUAAUGACAUGUUUUUAAAAAAACAUUGGAUGUGUGUCGUACAAGGUCUUUGGGGGACUCCGCGGUUUGCUCUGAUGGGGUCUCCCCCUGGCCGUUUGUUUGCCGGACCCUGAACUCACACUGGGCCUCCACCACUUCCCCGCUGUCUCAGGAGCAAGGCGUGGGCUCCGUUGUGGGAACUGGUUUGGGAGCCCCGUGGUCCUGAGUAGAGCCCAGCGGGCAGCCUGGGGCUGGCCAUGGCUUGUGAGUCUCUUGAAGAUUGUUCCGGAAUGUCUUGCCCAGCUGCUCCGGCGCUGUCUGUUCCCAUUGCAGGUCCUUAACAUUGACCCACUUGGGAAGGUGUCCCACCCCCAGUUCCAGGUGGAGAUGGUGACAAAUCUGUCCUCAUUUGGAGACGGGAGCCACCAACGGUCCUUCUCCAAACAGCAACCUGCAAUGGGGCUGUGGCCAGAAGGCUCCAGCAGCUGCCUCCGGCUUUGGGCCAGGCACUCCCAGGCGUCCCCUAAAAGUCCUUCCAGCCUCUGUCCCUAGUGUGGCUGGGCGCCAGCUCCAGGGAGUUCCCAUGGCAACCUUGAUGAUCGUUAAGGAACAUUGUCAGUUUUCUGAACAUGUGCUCAGAUGGAGAUCUGCUUUGGAAGGGAAGGACUGGGACAGCGAGAGACCUCGCUGGAGGAGCCCACGCCUGCUGACCACGAUACCUCAGCUCUGCAUCGCUUUUGGAGAGAAAUAGAUCAUCGUUUUAAGGGACUUCCCUCUUAAUUACCUGAAAACCAAUACCAAAGGCUGAUGUCAGUGUAUUUUGAUUUUUCAACGCUUUUUUCCUUUUAUCGCUAUUUUGCACUUAAAGUGAACAUGGUAAAUGUUUGAAAUAAAUAAUUUCUAAAAAAAGACACUUGAGAUGUCAUUUUGCUGCACG
rnacentral:lncRNA from 1 species